rnacentral:rRNA from 1 species
UGAAGCGGGAAGAGCUCAAAUUUGAAAUCUGGCGGCCUUUGGUCGUCCGAGUUGUAGUCUGGAGAAGCGUCUUCCGCGCCGGACCGUGUACAAGUCCCUUGGAACGGGGCGUCAUAGAGGGUGAGAAUCCCGUCUUUGACACGGACCGCCGGUGCUUUGUGAUGCGCUCUCAAAGAGUCGAGUUGUUUGGGAAUGCAGCUCAAAACGGGUGGUAAAUUCCAUCUAAAGCUAAAUAUUGGCGAAAGACCGAUAGCGAACAAGUACCGUGAGGGAAAGAUGAAAAGCACUUUGGAAAGAGAGUUAAACAGUACGUGAAAUUGUUGAAAGGGAAACGCUUGAAGUCAGUCGCGUCUCUUGGGACUCAGCCUUGCUUUUGCCUGGCGUACUUCCUGAGGUGACGGGCCAGCAUCGAUUUUGACCGUCGGAGAAAGGCCUCGGGAAUGUGGCACCUCCGGGUGUGUUAUAGCCCUGGGUCGCAUGCGACGGUUGGGAUCGAGGACCGCAGCACGCCUUUUUGGCCGGGGUUCGCCCACGUAACGUGCUUAGGAUGCUGGCGUAAUGGCUUUAAGCGACCCGUCUUGAAACACGGACCAAGGAGUCUAACAUGCCCGCGAGUGUUUGGGUGGAAAACCCGGACGCGUAAUGAAAGUGAAAUGUUGGGACCUCUGUCGCGGAGGGCACCGACGCCCGGACCAGACCUUCUGUGACGGCUCCGAGGUAGAGCGUGCAUGCUGGGACCCGAAAGAUGGUGAACUAUGCCUGAGUAGGGUGAAGCCAGAGGAAACUCUGGUGGAGGCUCGUAGCGAUUCUGACGUGCAAAUCGAUCGUCGAACUUGGGUAUAGGGGCGAAAGACUAAUCGA